AGUUUUAUAGUAUAAAAAUUACAUUAUCUUUUCAUGGUAAAAAUAGGACUUCCUUAAAACUC
rnacentral:tRNA from 1 species